rnacentral:rRNA from 1 species
UCGAGCGGCAGCGGAAGUAGCUUGCUACUUUGCCGGCGAGCGGCGGACGGGUGAGUAAUGUCUGGGAAACUGCCUGAUGGAGGGGGAUAACUACUGGAAACGGUAGCUAAUACCGCAUAACGUCGCAAGACCAAAGAGGGGGACCUUCGGGCCUCUUGCCAUCAGAUGUGCCCAGAUGGGAUUAGCUAGUAGGUGGGGUAACGGCUCACCUAGGCGACGAUCCCUAGCUGGUCUGAGAGGAUGACCAGCCACACUGGAACUGAGACACGGUCCAGACUCCUACGGGAGGCAGCAGUGGGGAAUAUUGCACAAUGGGCGCAAGCCUGAUGCAGCCAUGCCGCGUGUAUGAAGAAGGCCUUCGGGUUGUAAAGUACUUUCAGCGGGGAGGAAGGCGAUAAGG